UACGAAGGGGGCUAGCGUUGCUCGGAUUGACUGGGCGUAAAGGGCGCGUAGGCGGUUUGUACAGUCAGACGUGAAAUUCCUGGGCUCAACCUGGGGGCUGCGUUUGAUACGUGCAGACUUGAGUUCGGAAGAGGGUCGUGGAAUUCCCAGUGUAGAGGUGAAAUUCGUAGAUAUUGGGAAGAACACCGGUGGCGAAGGCGGCGACCUGGUCCGAUACUGACGCUGAGGCGCGAAAGCUAGGGGAGCAAACGGG
rnacentral:rRNA from 1 species